AAUAGAUACCCGGGUAGUCCAUGCCGUAAACGUUGGGCGCUAGAUGUGGGGACCAUUCCACGGUUUCCGUGUCGCAGCUAACGCAUUAAGCGCCCCGCCUGGGGAGUACGGCCGCAAGGCUAAAACUCAAAGGAAUUGACGGGGGCCCGCACAAGCGGCGGAGCAUGCGGAUUAAUUCGAUGCAACGCGAAGAACCUUACCAAGGCUUGACAUAUACGAGAACGCUCUAGAAAUAGAGAACUCUUUGGACACUCGUAUACAGGUGGUGCAUGGUUGUCGUCAGCUCGUGUCGUGAGAUGUUGGGUUAAGUCCCGCAACGAACGCAACCCUCGUUCUAUGUUGCCAGCGGUUCGGCCGGGAACUCAUAGGAGACUGCCGGGGUCAACUCGGAGGAAGGUGGGGAUGACGUCAAAUCAUCAUGCCCCUUAUGUCUUGGGCUUCACGCAUGCUACAAUGGCCGGUACAAAGGGCUGCAAUACCGUAAGGUGGAGCGAAUCCCAAAAAGCCGGUCUCAGUUCGGAUUGAGGU
rnacentral:rRNA from 1 species